AUUACCGCGGCUGCUGGCACGGAGUUAGCCGGUGCUUCUUCUGCGGGUAACGUCAAUUGCUGUGGUUAUUAACCACAACACCUUCCUCCCCGCUGAAAGUACUUUACAACCCGAAGGCCUUCUUCAUACACGCGGCAUGGCUGCAUCAGGCUUGCGCCCAUUGUGCAAUAUUCCCCACUGCUGCCUCCCGUAGGAG
rnacentral:rRNA from 1 species